GGAGGGAUGGCCGAGUGGCUUAUGGCGGCGGUCUUGAAAACCGCUUCCCGUUUACCGGGACGGGGGUUCGAAUCCCUCUCCCUCCGCCA
rnacentral:tRNA from 1 species